UUGGGUGUACGCGGGUACCCCUGUCCAAACGUGCGAGGGCAUGACGGGGUCGCAGGUUCAAAUCCUGUCAUCCCGACCA
rnacentral:tRNA from 1 species